GAUGAAGAACGCAGCGAAAUGAGAUAAGUAAUGUGAAUUGCAGAAUUCAGUGAAUCAUCGAAUCUUUGAACGCACAUUGCGCCCGGUAGUAUUCUGCCGGGCAUGCCUGUUCGAGCGUCAUUUCAACCAUCAAGCCCCAGCGCUUGUGUUGGGGGCCUGCGGCUGCCGCAGCCCCCUAAAAGCAGUGGCGGGCUCGCUAUCACACCGAGUGCAGUAGUUCAUCUUCUCUCCGGUCUUGUGAGGCGGGUUCCGGCCGUGAAACACCCCACUACAUUCAAGGUUGACCUCGGAUCAGGCAGGAAUACCCGCUGAACUUAAGCAUAUCAAUAAGCGGAGGA
rnacentral:misc_RNA from 1 species